GCGAGCGCUCCGGGCCUCCUCCCGACCCUGAACCGUCUCGCGGGGCCCCAGCCCCUCUGCCCGCCCGUUACCCCGGGACCUCGGGCGCCAGCCCCUUCCCCGUGCAGGCUCUCACUGGGGCUUUUCGUGUGUCCCCCGAGAUUUCGGGAGAGCCAGGUGAGUUCCUGGAGACAGGUGGUGCCCUUUGCAGGAGGGAACAGGUGGCUGAGACCCGGCCCAGGGGACACAGGUGAGACCUUCUCACUGGGCUGCCCGCGUGGGGCCUCCCAGGACGUCAGCGGCUGCGGCUUUGCCUCCUGACACCUGAGACCAGAGACAGAGAGGCCCGCACCCUGGGAGGUCCUGACGUCCAGUCUGAAGGUUGAGGGCGAGGCCACCACCUUUCACAAAAUGAGGCCAGACCACCUGCCUCCCUGCAGUCCCUGCGGCCUGGAGACAGGUCGGGGCCUUUGAUCCCCAUCACUGGAAGCCCCCCAGGCUGCGGUGCACAGGGACCAUGAAGAACCAGUCCCCGUGGCCCCAUGUCCGCCUGUCUCGACCUGUCCCAUCCUUGCUGAAACUCAAGAAGGUAAAACAGGUGAAUGCGGGCAUUAGCAGACCAAGGCUCUGGUGUGGGCACCGCAGCCUAAGUGAGACAGAAGGCUCAGCCGGCAUCUGGGUCACUGCAGAAGAGGAAAGCAGCCCCCGAGAGCCCUGCAGUGGCACCCACCAGUCUCCAUCCCCGUCUCUCCGCUCCACCCCUCAGCUCCCGUGGUGCACUGGAGGUCAGGUCGGGGAGGCAGGUGUCCAUUCCUGAAGUUACACAGCAGGGCCUGGGGCAGGAGAUGCAGUCAGCCAUCUGCACUAACCAUCAAUCACUAACGAGGGACAGGCAGUCGGAGCUGCCCAGUUUCUGAGUUACAGAAGCGGGUGGGGAGGGGUGCCCCAGACUGGUAAAAAUGACCUUGUUGGCAGAAUCACUCAUGGUUUUUCUGUUGAUGAACAGAGCCCAACUCACCCACAGGUGACUGUGGUCCUUGUGCUCCUUCCUCCUGGGGAGUCCUGCCCUUGCUGACCAGGGGCACCUGCCCACCUGUCAGCUGCUCCUCCCCCCGGCUGGUUCCCCUGGGUUCUGAUGGCCCCAACAUUUCUAGCUCUUCUCAUCCAUGGUGCCCCAAGCUUCAUGCAGCUGCAGCAGCCGCAGCCCCAACAAACUGACAAAGGAAGAGGACAGCGGUGCCCUGGAGCCCCUGGGACAGAGAGAGGAGGGCGAAACAGGGGUGGAGCCCAGCGAAUGACACCACCCCUUCUGAGAAGACACGGACAGGACAUCCUGCAGCCAGGGCCCAGGUUCUGAGCUAGAAAACUGUCAGCAGGGGCUGAAGCCAAGGACAGUCAUUGCCAAGGAACAGCCUGCGUCACAGAGGAGACGCUUGCACAGAUGCAGUGACCAGGGAAGGAUGAGGGCUGGUGACCACGGGGAGCAGACGUCUGUAGUAGGAGGAAUGCCUGGAGC